AAUAAGCUAAAUAAGAGCGUAUGGGGAAUGCCUAGGCUCUCAGAGGCGAUGAAGGACGUGAUAAGCUGCGAAAAGCUGCGGGGAUUGGCACAUACAAAUUGAUCCGUAGAUAUCCGAAUGGGGCAACCCACUAUAUUGAAGAUAUAGUAUGUCGUAAGACAAGCAAACCCAGAGAACUGAAACAUCUAAGUACCUGGAGGAGAAGAAAACAAAAGUGAUUCCGUUAGUAGUGGCGAGCGAACGCGGAUUAGCCCAAACCAGUAUUGUUACGGCAAUAUUGGGGUUGUAGGACCAAGACAUUUAAUGUUUAAUGAAUUAGAAUACUUUGGAAAAAGUAACCAUAGAGGGUGAUAGUCCCGUAUAGGUAAGUUGAAUUAUUAAUAUUGGUAUCCUGAGUAGCGCGGGGCACGUGUAACCCUGUGUGAAUCUGUCGGGACCAUCCGAUA
rnacentral:rRNA from 1 species